UAGGGAAUCUUCGGCAAUGGACGAAAGCCUGACCGAGCAACGCCGCGUGAGUGAAGAAGGUUUUCGGAUCGUAAAACUCUGUUGUUAGAGAAGAACAAGGACGUUAGUAACUGAACGUCCCCUGACGGUAUCUAACCAGAAAGCCACGGCUAACUACGUGCCAGCAGCCGCGGUAAUACGUAGGUGGCAAGCGUUGUCCGGAUUUAUUGGGCGUAAAGCGAGCGCAGGCGGUUUCUUAAGUCUGAUGUGAAAGCCCCCGGCUCAACCGGGGAGGGUCAUUGGAAACUGGGGGACUUGAGUGCAGAAGAGGAGAGUGGAAUUCCAUGUGUAGCGGUGAAAUGCGUAGAUAUAUGGAGGAACACCAGUGGCGAAGGCGGCUCUCUGGUCUGUAACUGACGCUGAGGCUCGAAAGCGUGGGGAGCAAACAGG
rnacentral:rRNA from 1 species